rnacentral:rRNA from 1 species
GAUGAACGCUGGCGGCGUGCCUAAUACAUGCAAGUCGAGCGAACAGACGAGGAGCUUGCUCCUCUGACGUUAGCGGCGGACGGGUGAGUAACACGUGGAUAACCUACCUAUAAGACUGGGAUAACUUCGGGAAACCGGAGCUAAUACCGGAUAAUAUAUUGAACCGCAUGGUUCAAUAGUGAAAGACGGUUUUGCUGUCACUUAAAGAUGGAUCCGCGCCGCAUUAGCUAGUUGGUAAGGUAACGGCUUACCAAGGCAACGAUGCGUAGCCGACCUGAGAGGGUGAUCGGCCACACUGGAACUGAGACACGGUCCAGACUCCUACGGGAGGCAGCAGUAGGGAAUCUUCCGCAAUGGGCGAAAGCCUGACGGAGCAACGCCGCGUGAGUGAUGAAGGUCUUUGGAUCGUAAAACUCUGUUAUUAGGGAAGAACAAAUGUGUAAGUAACUAUGCACGUCUUGACGGUACCUAAUCAGAAAGCCACGGCUAACUACGUG